rnacentral:lncRNA from 1 species
AACUUUUGAAUGGAUAUUAGCAUUAGGAUUAUGGAAUCAUUUUAUGAAAUGGAUUCAAAUUGCAUAGUUUUCCAUCUUUAUGUUCUGGAAACUUCUAUGUGAGAAUUCUAUGUUCCUUAAAUUUUUACAAGAAUUUCUUUUUAAAACUUCCUAAGCAUGGAGACCUUAUGAAAGGUAGUUCUUGCAUAGCAUUCUCAUUUCUUCUCUGUCUAAUGAUCAGUUAACUCAUUUACGCCAGAGGCUGCAAAUUUUUUGUGUGAAAGAUCAGAACUUGGCGAUGACCUUGAGCAGUAGGAUAUAAAUAACUCCCACAAACUUAGCGUUCUAAUAAUAGAACACUAGGCAUAAAUGAGUUAAGGUAUAUACUACUUCUUCGUUUGAGACAGAAUCUUGCUCUGUCACCCAGGCUGGGGUACAGUAGCAUGAUCUUGGCUCACUGCAACCUCCGCCUCCCAGGUUCAAGUGAUUAUCCUGCAGUGAGGUACGAUUGCGCACCCCAGCUUGGGCAACAGAGCAAGACGGUGUCCAAAAAACCCAAAAGACACCCAUUUCACAGAUAUUUUAACAUUUAACAACAUAUAAUUGAGCAUAUACCCACUCGUGACUGCAGCUGGCUUUUGUUGUCAUUAGGUUUGCUAGUCUUGUCUAUCUUCUUCUUGUUGCUCCUUUAAAUAACCAGUUUCUGCAUUUAUUUUGCCUGUGGCUAUCUGUUCCCUAAUUUAUUCCUACGUAACUUUUCAUUACUUUCUUCCUCUGAGUUUCUUUACAGC